AUGAACCACAUCGGCACCGCCGCAGCCCAGAUCGGGAUCACAACCUCGAGCCAGGGAGCCCCGUGUCACCCUUUGAACCGCGAGAGGGAGGAGUGCCUCCACCGCCGCCGGCGCAUGCACAGGCUAAGCUCGGUGCCUACCACCGGCGGUGACAAAGGGGAGGUGACCCGUUAUAAUCAAAUUCCAGCGAACUUAAUAAUAAAUAUCAAUUUCCACGGGGAUGAGAGCCCAACAGCAAAUGGAAAUGCAGAGCCUACAGGCUACAGCCCAGGUACAACCGCAGAACCUCCUCGCGAACGGCCCAACAUCACGAGAAAAUGGAGGGAAAAACUCCAGAAGCGAGGGAAAACCCUCAUCCCUUUCCCCAAAUGCGCGAACAGAAAGAGAUGGAAACCCACGCCGACCUCGGCACCGACGGCGGCAACCCUGCUCCGACGAAGCCGGCGAUGGACGAACCACGCGCAGGCGCCGAUGCCGCUGAAGUCCUCUCCUUCACCGGCCCCGACGUGCUCCCCGUCCCCCAGCCGGUACGCUCUCCUCGCCGCCCUCCGGGUACCACUCGAAGGAUUCGCCGCCACCCGUUUUGUUGAAGAUCUGCGUGUUCUGAGCUCGCAGGGUACCGCCGUGAGCGCGAGGAAGCGGAAGGCCCCGGCGACGGCGACGGCGAAGGCUGUCAGGAAGCCUCGGAAGCCGCAGGUUGAAGUUGAAGAAGCGAUUCAGAUGCCGGUGUACUAUGGACGUAGAGAACCGUUUUCCCGCGUGCGUGGCAACGAUUUGGAAAACAAAUGUGCUCACUUAGUCCGCGAGCUACCGCUGCAGCCACAGUCCAUGUCGUUGGUGGAUCUACAGCUCUGGAUCUUCAGGCUGUUCCGGCUCCAUCCAGAAACACAAGAUCUCAAUAUCAAGGGGUUCCUCAAGCAACGCAAAACUGAUUUCUUUGACGAAGAGUCCUCCGAAACCGGACUGUUGUUUGGAGGACUACCCAAGUUCAUGUUGUAUGUGCAAUCCUCUGAGGUCAGGCACUACGGCAUUUUGCUCAAAGCCGUACAUGAUGAUUACUCUCAACUGGCCACGGUUGUGUUGCCUGGGACGGAGUGCCUGGCAAGUAGUCGCUACGCCUUCCGUGACCUUGUGGAUGACCUGACGAUGACAGCUCAGGAAUUGGUACAUUAUCUCACUGGACCCUUAGGUGAGAAGAUUAGUCCCGCUGAGACGUGGAGGGCAAGACAGUUUGCUCUGGAGAGGGAAUUCGGCACCUUUUACGAUUCACACAACUUUGCCCCGAGGUUGCUCAAGGAAAUAGCACGCAAGAACCCUGGUUGUUUUGUUGACAUCAAGGAUGCAGAGGUUGCAGAGUGUAAGGGUUUCCGAGUCCUGCACCGUAUGUUUUGGGCAUUUGGACAGUGCUUACAGGCCUUCCGUACCUGUCGCCCUGUUCUAUGCAUCAAGGGCACACCACUAUGUGGGAAAUAUCAAGGGAUGUUGUUGACUGCUGUGGCAUUGGAUGCUAAUGAUUUUUACAUUCCAGUAGCAUGUGCUAUCGUUGAGGUUGAGACCAAGGAAAGUUGGUUGUGGUUUCUUAGUAAUUUGGAGCGAGCAGUGGUGCAUCAGUCUGAUGUGUGUCUUAUACACGACUACAAAAGGGAGUUGAUUGAAGCUGUGGAAGACCUUCUGAAAUACCAAUAUCGACAGUGGCAUAAAGCAGAAAGCCGGUGGUGCAUGGAAGACCUUGCUGAAAACUUCUUUGCGUAUUUUGGCGACAAGAAGCUGCUGCUGAUGUUCAAGAAACUUUGCCAGCAGAAGAGACGCCAUAAGUUUGUCAAGCAUGACGUGGAGGAGCUUGAGGCGCAAAGCCCAUGCAACCAACAUGAUUCUGUGAAGAAUGUGAAGGAAGAUCAUGCUGAUGACAGCAACAAAAAGAUAACAAAGUUCUCUGACUGGAUCGGUCUGAAACCAAAGGAGAAGUGGUCACUGGCAUAUGAUCGAGAUGGAGCAAGGUAUGGCAUCAUGGGCAGUGUUAUAUCUGAUGUAUAUAAGAACGACCCUGUGUUGAAAGGGAUCACAUGCCUUCCGCUCAGUGCGAUAGUGGAGGUGACAUUCCUGCGCUUGGUAAAGUACUUCGAAAACACAAGUGCUGCAGCAAACAAAGCAAUUGGCAACCCAUCAAUUAACUUCCCGGAACGUGUCCAGGUUGACAUGAAUUCCAAAAUGCAGAAAUCCGAGACGCAUACAGUUACGUAUGCGUACGCCGAUGAGAAGAACGCUCGUGGUGAGGUAUUGGAUCGGAAGUUUACAGUUAAGGGAAGGAAGAGGGAGGUGACUGUUCACCUAAAGUCGGAAUAUACCCGCAGCAUGAAUAAGUCUGAAGGAUCCACAGUUGAAAAAACUGCCACAUGUUCAUGCAGCAAGCCGCAGCUACUUCACAAGCCUUGCUCUCAUGUUAUCGCCAUCUGUUGUAAGAUUGGGGUUAGCUCUGCUACAUACAUGUCCCCAUACUACAGCCUGCCCUACCUAGACAAAAAAUUGGAGUCUGGUCUUCCUGUUUUUGUAACACCGGAAUGCCUAGCAACUGUCACGGAGGAGUUAGAGCAACAAUGCAGCACUGGAAAUGGAUCAGCUGAAGACAAUCAAGGAUCGACAGCACGCUCAGAAGAACCUAAUUAA
rnacentral:rRNA from 1 species